UUUCGUGUUUGGGCUUACGUUUUUACGCCGUGGAUGGCCCAAUGGAGGGAUUCUCCCUUGUAGACCUAAUUUUUGUCUUCUUCUUUCAUCUCGCGGCGGUGUAGAGAUGUCGUCUGAGCUUCUCCGAAACGGUCUCAUAGAUGCUUCAUGAUCGAUCGUUAAUGGUUCUCAUCCCCACUACGUCGUCUUCAAUGCCUCUAGAUCUGAAAGGUGGUGAUUUUUUGUUAUAAAUAUGUGUGCUCAUCCGCCGUCGAAACUAGGCUUUUGAGGUUCUGGGAGGCUAGAAACGUGAAGCUUGGCGAUGAGUUCAUGUUGGUCGACAUACUGAUGGUUGACGUCAACGUAAGUACCUUUUUCUUAUUUUUCUGUUUAAUUCAAAUUAUUCCGGCGAGGAUCUUACUGUCGACGUAUCUUGAAUCUGCUAGCUCCUUUGUGUUUGCUCACCAUUUUCUUUAAUUUUUUUUUCUUGGGUCUUCGUGCUUAUUGCUGAUCAUGUCCGUUGAUACCUCUUUUGAUAUCCAUCCAGUAGUUCGUAGUUUCGGUUUCCCCAGUUUUAAGAUUUGAGAUCUCAUAACUUUAGAUGUACUAGGGUUAGUUAGAUUUUUUAAUAGAUAAGAGGAUUUUUGACUACUUUCCAGAUUAUCAACGGAUUCUUUGAUUUUUGAUUCUCUCGGUUUGAUAAUUUAAGACAUGACGUAAAAUCUGGAGGAGAUUUGUUUGAUUGUAUAUGUUUGCUUCAUGUAUUUGCUGAUGCAAACGCAUGUUGAAUUCUAAACCUUGAUUGUCUUCUAUUGAUACGCUCAUUUAGGACUCUAUUAGCAACCAUUAGAAAAUCAGACAUGAAGGUUAGUUAAAACCAUUUACAGUUACUACUAAUACUACCAGGGAAACUGGUCAAAACUUUCUCUAUGUACGUCAUGUUCGUAUUUCUUUUUAUAUAAUGAUCUUGCUGGCUAAUUUAUUUUGAAAUUUUGUGGUUGAGUUGAAGAGUUAACUUACUGGGUACGGUGAAUGAAUGUAUUAUCUUACAGGUUCGAUAUCAAGUAUUAUUUUACAGGAUUUGAAGAUAUUAGACCUGUGUAAGUCGGAUCUGCUUAAGUGUCUGUUCACAAGCGAUUUGCUCUCUUGCAUAAUUUUAUUAAGUUACUAUUUCUUGAGACAGCGUGGUAGCAGCAUAUAUAGGAACUGGAUUUGAUUUUGAGUAUUCUUUGGUGAGCCAGGGCUUCCAAGGUUUUACUGUCUUCCAAGGAAUACUUUUCAAAACGAGCUAUAUUAUUCUUUACUAUCUUACUUGAUGCAGAGAUUAACAAGAGACAAAACUCGGCCUCAACCUCCGCAGCUGCAUCAGAAAAUGGGACCGGAAGAGGCUGGAGAAGAGCAAGGACCCAGAUUUCCCACGGUAAAGCUGAGAAAACGGUGCGAGGGGGGAAGAGGUGGUGAAAGGGUUGAGAGAUGAAAAACGGAAUGUGAAGCUGAACAAGAGGAUUGGAGUAUAUUCUUUGGAGAUUCAGCAGUUGGAGAAAAAUUUGCAAAGAAAAUGGGACUCAAGAUUUUAAAUGAGUUAACAGAAGGUUAUGAGAGUAUCUACGAAAGGCUUUCAGCUUUGCCUUCUACUGCUCAUGGUGCUUUGGUACUAAUCUCACUGUAAAGUUUAUGUCUUUUAGUUCUCUGAUGAUUGUCUUAUAGACUUGAAAUGUAUGCCAGCAUGUUUUUCAGAUUUAUAGCAACCUCUGAGGUUUUCGGUCUUUCAUUUAUAACUUAGUCUUUUAGAAAAAGGAAGUCUUUCGGUAAAAGAAAAGACUGAGAAAGUUCCUUUUUGCUGUUUGGUUUUGUUUCUAAGUUUUCUCUGUUUACCUCUCUCUUUGUUAUGUAGAUUGAAUAUGAGCCAGAAUAUUUUAUGCCAGAUUUUGGAUCGAACACUUCUAAUCACUAAGCAUUGAUACUAUCGAGAUUCUUAUUCACGACUAACGUCACUGAGAGAAUUGAUAUGCUCAAGGAGUGGCCAUUAAGUCAACUGAGUGGUGUUCGUAAUUGACUGCUCUAAACCAGUUAAUUCCUGCUUGAUUUUGUGUCAGAUAAUUAUAGAUGUACUGUACGUACAUAUUUUCUCAUCCGACACCACACAAAUUUGAUU